UUCUGACAGGAAGGAGGCCUCAUAUGCCUCCAGUUCUUACCAGUCCAGCAGAUUUUGUUGUGGCUUGUAGGCGCCUCUAGAUGGCAGUGCUGUUCAGCUGGAUUACAGAUAACGCUUUUUCUUUUUCCGUGCUACUUCAGCUUUACAUUAAAUGGGAUAUUUUCCACAGCCGCUGAGAGCCUCUGAUCUUCCCAAAUGUCCUCCUAUAACCUUCAUAUGUAAGUGAACAAUGCACAUGGACCUGCUUAGCCACUACUAGGAGAGAAACCACCUGCAAGAGGUCCAGUGGAAAGGCUCACCAUGAUCUUACAUUGAGAAAACAGGGGGAUGUGACAGGAGGGCCAGCGGGGCAGUACACGUCUGCUUCCAUUUGUCAUAACGAAGAGCUGUCAUGCAAGGUGUGUGUGUUGAAACACUUUUACAUCAGCAUGUGUUUGUCACCCUGGGACGGAUCCGUGUC